AGAGUUUGAUUCUGGCUCAGGAUGAACGCUAGCGGCAGGCCUAAUACAUGCAAGUCGAACGGUGUCUUCGGACAUAGUGGCGCACGGGUGCGUAACACGUAUGCAACCUACCUUACAUUGGGGGAUAGCCUUUCGAAAGGGAGAUUAAUACCGCAUAAGACAGUAGCUGGGCAUCCAGCAGCUGUUAAAGAUUUAUCGAUGUAAGAUGGGCAUGCGUCCAAUUAGUUAGUUGGCGAGGUAACGGCUCACCAAGACUUUGAUUGGUAGGGGAACUGAGAGGUCAAUCCCCCACACUGGCACUGAGAUACGGGCCAGACUCCUACGGGAGGCAGCAGUAGGGAAUAUUGGGCAAUGGACGCAAGUCUGACCCAGCCAUG
rnacentral:rRNA from 1 species